CUUAUUAUUGUUGGGGUAGCGAAAGAGGCAAAUAAGUUUUCGUUCAUUUUGUUUCUCAAGGGGCAGAGGAUUUUGUUUUUUUG